AACUUUUAACGGUGGAUCUCUAGGCUCGUGCAUCGAUGAAGAACGCAGCGAAAUGCGAUACGUAGUGUGAAUUGCAGAUCGUGAAUCAUCGAAUCUUUGAACGCAAAUUGCGGUUCCUGGUAACUCCAGGGACCAUGCCCGGUUGAGUGUCA